rnacentral:rRNA from 1 species
AUUGAACGCUGGCGGCAUGCCUUACACAUGCAAGUCGAACGACAGCGCGGGGCAACCUGGCGGCGAGUGGCGUACGGCUUGGUAAUAUAUCCUAACGUACCCAGAAAUUCGGGGUAACGUAGCCUAAGUUACGCUAAUAUCUCAUACGAUCUACUGUAUCAAGUUGGGGUCCGCAAGCCCUUAUGUUUUUAGUUCGUCCGAGAUCUGAUUAGCUAGGUGGUGAGGUAAAGGUUCACCAAGGCGACGAUCAGUAGCUGUUCUGAUAGGACGACUAGCCACACUGGAAGUGAGAAAGGGCCCAGACUCCUACGGGAGGCAGCAGUGGGGAAUUUUGGACAAUGGGCGCAAGCCUGAUCCAGCAAUGCCGCGUGAGUGAUGAAGGAGUUCGGCUUGGAAAGUUCUGUUGUCAGGAAAGAAACGGUAGAGGCUAAUAUCCUUUGCUAAUGACGGUACCGGAAGAAUAAGCACCGGCUAACUCCGUG